UACGGGGGGGGCAAGCGUUGUUCGGAAUUACUGGGCGUAAAGGGUUUGUAGGUGGCUCGCUAAGUCAGACGUGAAAUCCCUCAGCUUAACUGGGGAACUGCGUCUGAGACUGGCAAGCUUGAGUGCAGGAGAGGAACGCGGAAUUCCAGGUGUAGCGGUGAAAUGCGUAGAUAUCUGGAGGAACGCCGGUGGCGAAGGCGGCGUUCUGGACUGUAACUGACACUGAGGAACGAAAGCCAGGGGAGCAAACGGG
rnacentral:rRNA from 1 species